rnacentral:rRNA from 1 species
GCGAGCUGGGUUUAGAACGUCGUGAGACAGUUCGGUCCCUAUCUGCCGUGGGCGUAUGAGAUUUGAGAGGAGCUGCUCCUAGUACGAGAGGACCGGAGUGGACGAACCUCUGGUGUUCCGGUUGUCACGCCAGUGGCAUUGCCGGGUAGCUAUGUUCGGACGGGAUAACCGCUGAAAGCAUCUAAGCGGGAAGCCCACCUCAAGAUGAGAUCUCACCAAAUCAUUCCGAUUUCUGAAGGGCCCUCGAAGACUACGAGGUUGAUAGGCAGGGUGUGUAAGCGCUGCGAGGCGUUGAGCUAACCUGUACUAAUUGCCCGUGCGGCUUGACCAUAUAA